rnacentral:lncRNA from 1 species
AUGGUGCUGCAUCAGCAUAAUCAAAUGGUGUCAUGUUGUUAUCCUUGAGUCUCUGGGGCAGGUUUCACAAAAAUAUAUCAGGAGUAAGACAUGUCUUUACUUAGGACGGUUUAACGGCAUAUUGUUGUCCUUAAUGGGUUUCACAAAGUGGUCCUAAAUUUGAACAUUUUUUAAAGAUGGUCACAAAGAAAUGACUACACAAGAGUAUGUUUAUAUAAAUUUCACUGAUUUUUUAUAUCAAUUUUGCAAAUUAUCUUAUUUUUAUCUAAUUAUCAAUUCGGAUGGUGGAGUUCUAAAUUAGAGACACAAAAUUUAACCAUUAAUCUUUCAAGUCAAUAUAAUGAAUAAAAACAAACAUGGAGUGCUCGAAUUUUCUAAACUAAAACAAUUUAAACAAGAAUGUGUCCCCAGUACACGGAUGCCCCAUCCGCACUAUUAUUUUCUAUGAUUAGUGGACCGUGAAAAUGGGGGGAA